UAGCCAAUCUCCAGUGAGCCUUGCACUGUU
rnacentral:piRNA from 1 species